GUUUGGACUAAUCAUUUCUAAUAACUUGCUGAUCUUCAGGGUCGAUGAUAUGGCCUAGGGACUCUCUUAACCAGAUAUGGAGAUACUAUGUCUAUACUCAGUAGCUACAAGAUUGAAGCCGAGUCUUCCAUUCUUGAGAUAUCAAGGAUGCAUGGGACGAUAACAAUAUGAUCAUUAAGUGGGCAACUGCUAAGGAGGUGGUACACAGGCAACACAAACCGCUAUGUGGUCUUUCAACCUGUUCGUGAGAACUGUUUACAAGUUCAUUUGUUGUUGGAAGAUGUUGUUGCUCUACAAGAAUGUGAUGGACCUUCAUCCGUAGAAGCAUUUCAUUUUUUAGAUAUAAAAGUAAUCAGUUGAAGGACUGUU